AAAAUUGAAAAGGACCGGGGGGGUGUGGUGGGUAGUGAUGAUAGAUCCAGCUUUUCUUGAGCUGAUUGUAUCAUCAGUACUCCCCUACCAUAUGCAACAGUGAUAUAUCAUUCCGUGCAUGUGUGUGUUGAGUUUCCAGAUCUGUAAAUUCCACACUCGUAUACGUAGAGUUUUAUGCACUGCUGUUAAACCCCUAGCUCGGAUAUUUUGUCUGAAAGGACCUUUUGCAAACUGUACUGUCUCUGGCGGCUGGAAGUAUUUACUACUUCUGUCAGCUUGAGGGACUUGGUCUCUCGAGCCGUGGACAAACCGCCAAACACGUUUCUUAAACACAAUUAUUUGUAACUUUUUAUGUCUGAUAUUUUUUCUUGUAUUUAAAUAUACAAA
rnacentral:misc_RNA from 1 species